AGUGAACGCUGGCGGUAGGCCUAACACAUGCAAGUCGAACGGCAGCACAGUAAGAGCUUGCUCUUACGGGUGGCGAGUGGCGGACGGGUGAUGAAUACAUCGGAAUCUACUUUUUCGUGGGUGAGAACGUAGGGAAACUUACGCUAAUACCGCAUACGACCUACGGGUGAAAGCAGGGGAUCUUCGGACCUUGCGCGAGUGAAUGAGGCGAUGUCGGAUUAGCUAGUUGGCGGGGUAAAGGCCCACCAAGGCGACGAUCCGUAGCUGGUCUGAGAGGAUGAUCAGCCACACUGGAACUGAGACACGGUCCAGACUCCUACGGGAGGCAGCAGUGGGGAAUAUUGGACAAUGGGCGCAAGCCUGAUCCAGCCAUACCGCGUGGGUGAAGAAGGCCUUCGGGUUGUAAAGCCCUUUUGUUGGGAAAGAAAAGCAGCAGGUUAAUACCCCGCUGUUCUGACGGUACCAAAAGAAUAAGCACCGGCUAACUUCGUG
rnacentral:rRNA from 1 species